AUGUAGAAGAGGAUAAAGGUCAGGCUGACUGCCUCAAUGAAUAUUUUUGUUCUGUAUUUACAGAAGAAAAUGAAGAAAAGGGACCUCAGUUGAGAAAAAGGAUAAAUGAGUAAUUUAUUACACGUGAGUUUACAGAGGAAGAGGUUCUAUUUCAACUGUCAAAAAUAAAGACAAAUAAGUCAAUGGGACCUGAUGGAAUACACCCAAAGCUAUUAAAAGAGCUUAGUGGUGUACUAGCAAAACCAUUAACAGAUUUAUUUAACCAAUCAUUGUUAACAGGAGUAGUCCCAGAAGAUUGGAAGUUAGCGAAUGUUGUGCCCAUUUACAAGAAAGGUAAUAGGGAGGAGUCGGGCAACUAUAGGCCAGUAAGCCUUACUUCAGUAGUGGGGAAAGUGAUGGAAACCUUGUUAAAGGAUAGGAUUGAUGAACAUCUAAAAACACAUGGAUUUCAAGAUCAGAGACAACAUGGGUUUACUUCAGGGAGAUCAUGCCAAACUAAUCUUAUUGAUUUUUUUGAUUGGGUAACUAAAAUUAUAGAUCAGGGUGGUGCAGUAGACAUUGCUUACCUAGAUUUCAGUAAGGCUUUUGACACUGUUGCACAUAGAAGGCUUAUCAAUAAACUGCAAUCUUUAAGUUUGGAUUCCAAUAUUGUUGAAUGGGUAAGGCAGUGGCUGAGUGACAGGCAACAGAGGGUUGUAGUUAAUGGAAUAUAUUCGAAGCUUGGACUUGUCACCAGUGGGGUACCUCAG